rnacentral:rRNA from 1 species
AGAAUCUUUCGCAAUGGGCGCAAGCCUGACGAAGCGACGCCGUGUGAGCGAAGAAGGCCUUCGGGUUGUAAAGCUCUUUCGCCAGGGAACAAGGGAACCGGUAUAACACGUCGGUAACUUGAUGGUACUUGGUAAAGAAGCACCGGCUAACUCCGUGCCAGCAGCUGCGGUAAUACGGAGGGUGCAAGCAUUGAUCGGAAUUACUGGGCGUAAAGGGCGCGUAGGCGGCUAGAAAAGUCGGAUGUGAAAUUCCAGGGCUCAACCCUGGAGCUGCAUUUGAAACUCUCUGGCUAGAGUAUAGUUAGGGUAAACGGAAUUCCACGUGUAGCGGUGAAACGCGUAGAUAUGUGGAAGAACACCGGUGGUGAAGACGGUUUACUGGGCUAUAACUGACGCUGAGGCGCGAAAGCAUGGGGAGCAAA